AGGGUGAAAGUCAGAGUGAACAAAUUUUAAUGUAUUGGCUACCUGGUUGCCAGGGCUGCCUUCAACUCUGGCAAAGUAGAUAUUUUUGCUGCCAAUGACCCUUUCAUUUCUGCCAACUACAUGGUCUACGUGUUCCAGUAUGACUCUUCCCAUGGCAAGUUCCAUGGCACAGUAAAGGAUGAGAAUGGGAAGCUGGGAAACAUCAUCAAUGGGAAAGCCUUCUCCAUAUUUCAGCCUCAAGAUCUUUCCGAUAUCAAAUAGGGGUGAUGCUGGUGCUGAGUGUAUUGUGGAGUUCACUGGUGUUCUCACCACCCUGGAGAAGGCUGGAGCUCACUUGAAAUGGUGGGGGUGGGUAAAAUGAUUUACAUUCCUCUUCUUCUGCUGCUUCCAUGUUUGUGAUAGGUGUGAACUAUGAGAAGUAUGACAACUCACUCAAUAUCAUCCACAAUGCCUACUACACUUUAGUGGUUUGAAUAAGAAUGGCCUCCAUAGGCUCAUAUAUUUGAAGGUCAUCCAUGACAACUUCAGCAUUGUGACCAUAAUUACUGCUAUCUAGAAGACUGUGGAUGGCUUCCUCUGGGAAGCUGUGGUGAGAUGGUUGUGAGGUUGCUCAGAACAUCAUCCUUGCAUCCACUGGCACUGCCAAGGCUGUGGGCAAGCUCAUCCCAGAGCUGAACAGGAAGCUUACUGGCAUGACCUUCCAUGUUCCUACCCCUAGUAUAUCUAUUAUAGAUCUGACAUGCCACCUGGAA
rnacentral:lncRNA from 1 species